ACAGAGAACACACCACACCUGCUAAGUUACUGCCCCGGGGAGAUCCACGGAGAAAUGUACUGGCAGAACCGAGCACCAGUUCAUGAGAGCCGGAUAAACAAAGCAUAAACUUGGGCUGUCACCCACACCCCACAGCUGCGGUGCUGCUCUUCCCCACCAGUGAAUCCCAGGCACUGCACUCUCGCCUCCACUGAGAGCAGAGUGCCUGUGACCUAACCCACGUUUACUGCUGAGCGUUCUAGAAGGACCAUGUUUAUUUGCCAGUAUUUUGGGCUGAAUUGCCACAUGUCCAUCUGGGAUUUCUCUCACAUAAAUGCACUUGUUUUCACAGUGUGUAUACAGCAAGCUCAUCGAUCUCGGGAGGCCUCGGACCUGCUGGGCACGUGCUGCCUGGCCGGUGCGUGCUGCGCGGGACCUUCUGACUGGAGAUGCCAGGCAUGAAAAAAACAAGUAUCUGAGUAAGAAAAAUCAGAGAAGACUGACCUUCCACCCUGAGGGAAAGAAUUAAGAGCAUCACUGCACACUGCUGCGUAGGAAGCUACCAGAAGAAUGGCAGAAUAAAGUCCAGAGAAGCAAUAAAAAACAGACAACUGCAUUACCCCAUGAACCGAAAACAGGGAAGAAAUGUAAUGACUAGUCCAGCGAGUUUUUUGUUGGCCACAGCACAGAAACCACAUUUAACUGUCAGGUCACAGUGCCACCAAGAUAGAUACUAGUUACUGCCUAAACAAGCUAUGGACUUUUACCACUGGAUACAGGAAUUCUGUAAAACAAGCGAAAUAAGCUAUGGCACCCUUGGAAACAUUUUUCCACAGCGCUUCAGGUUUAAGAUACCAAACUGUUCAUCAAGGAAGCUCACAGUACUCGGACUGGAUUGGCAAGCCAACCAUGGAUUUUAACCAGACAUCCCUUUGCUGCUACGAAGUUGCAAAAACAUCCCAGAAAUGACUUUUCUUUCAAUAUUUCUGAAUACUUUUUCUUUCCACCCAUCAGGAGUUUUCAGAAUACUUAGCAGAAAUCAAUUAUUUAAUUAGUGAAACAUUCCUGAGAGCCAGAUUGGAACUACUGCCCUAACUUUACAAGAAACAACAACACAGAGGGAUCAUGGGACAGAUUCUGAGAUAUACUUGGAUGCUGAGCAAGAUUUUCCAAAGCAUGAAGAUAUUUAAUUCUCACUGAAAGCAAUUAAAAGACUGGAAACGGUAAAGCAGUGCUUUCAAUAUAUUAAGGGUCACCUUAUCUUACUUAAUUCCCAUUCUUAUUUCCCUUUUGCCUGUCUCUAACGAUUAUCUCAAAAAAAUGUAUUUUGCUGCCAAGACUGCAAGCUGUACAGGGGGGAAAGGCCUAGCUAGGUUGCGGAUUUAUAUAAAUACAUAUUAAACGGUAUUAUCACUCUA